UGAAGCUGCUGUGUGGUUUUCUGGAGGAUCCACACUGCAGACUGGAGACUCUGAGCUGGUGAUCUCUGUCAGAGUGUGAGGGGUCAGAAAGGUGGAGGUGUUGAGAGAGGAUCAGCUGUGUCCUGAUGAUCCAGAGAGGUUGAAGCAGCAGCAUCAGCUUGUGUGUGGAGAGGCUCUGACUGGGCCAUGUUACUGGGAGGUAGAGUGGAGAGAAGAGCUUCAUCCAGCAGUGACUGACAGAGGAAUCCCAACAAAGGCUGGGAUUUUUAAUUUUAAUAAUAAAAUUCUGCUGUAACCUACCUAUUUACUUUUUUGACAUUCAGUUAUUACCUGUAUCGAAGUUUGGAAAAAAUGUAGACCUAUGUAUCACCACAUAGUUGUUGGAAAAGUUGCGAAACAUACUUGACUCACUCUGAUCUACAUGUUGUCAUCUUUCACAACGGUGAAUAAGAUGUUGGUUGAGUCGCGCAGGCAGAGUUUCUUCAUAACGGGCGCAUGCUCCGCAUUUUCCCACGAAGAAUGCACUUUGAUUAUGCAUAUAUUUAUAUAUGAUGAAACUACCAAAUCUAACACUGUGGCAGCCAGUAAAGCCAGGGAGGCUUGUUGGCAGUGUAGUGAGUAAAUUUGCAAUUAACUUAACAGUGUUCUUGUUGUAAUUUUCUAUUGUGUAUUUUAUGGACUCUUAUGUGUAAUGUGAUUAAAAUGUACAAGUUCAAGGUACAACUGCAUAAUAAGUACAUUGUAAUAAAAUAAAAAAUGGAGCCUGGGGAGAGGGGUAAUAAUAAUCUGAGGAAAAACUUUAUGAGGAACUAAUUAUCACAAAUCGACAAGUUAAAAUUUUAAAUAAUCUCUGACAUUAUAUAUAACAUAAAACAUUUAUGAGAGGAACUAUCGCUUCACUUUGUAAGGCUGCAAAAUACCACGCAUACCUCUGCCAUGUAUUAUGCAUGCAGAAAAUUAUAUUAUAGGAUCCUUCACAGCCAGAUUUAGCAACGAUGAAAUACUGUUGAUUUCAGCCCUCAUCAGACUUUGCGGUGAAGUGGGCAUAUUCAGAAGAAAAUUGGGAUUUUUUUUAGGGAAUUUCCAAGUUCUUGUAAAUCUACCAUUUUCAUGUAGGAAUUUUUUUCUUGGAUUAUACAACCUCACCCUGGCUCUGUAUUUUUCAGGUAUGUAAAAUAGUCAAUCAAAAUAUGUGAUACAUUUAGGAUUAUUUAAUCAGAUUGCACUAAAAAGGAGGCCUAAUUCCACUGUCUAUUUUGUACAAUGACAAUAAAUGGUUUUUAUUCUAUUAUAUUCUAUACAGAUUUUUAAAUGAAUGAUUUAAUUUAUUAAAAAUUAUAUCAAAAUUAAAUUAAAAAAAUUUAAAAA